GUGCUCGCUUCGGCAACACAUAUGCUAAUAUUGGAACGAUACAGAGAAGAUUAGCAUGACCCCUGUGCAAGGAUGACACGCCUGUUUCUCUCACCCUUCCCUACCUUU